rnacentral:rRNA from 1 species
AUUGAACGCUGGCGGCAUGCUUUACACAUGCAAGUCGAACGGCAGCGGGGAGGAGCUUGCUUCUCUGCCGGCGAGUGGCGAACGGGUGAGUAAUACAUCGGAACGUGUCGAGAAGAGGGGGAUAACCACCCGAAAGGGUGGCUAAUACCGCAUAAAUUCUGAGGAAGAAAGCUGGGGACCUAGGAAUAGGCCUAGCGCUUUUUGAGCGGCCGAUGUCGGAUUAGCUAGUUGGUGAGGUAAAGGCUCACCAAGGCGAAGAUCUGUAGCGGGUCUGAGAGGAUGAUCCGCCACACUGGGACUGAGAAACGGCCCAGACUCCUACGGGAGGCAGCAGUGGGGAAUUUUGGACAAUGGGGGCAACCCUGAUCCAGCCAUGCCGCGUGUAUGAAGAAGGCAUUAGGGUUGUAAAGUACUUUUGUUAGGGAAGAAAAGUCAGCUGUGAAUAAUGGCUGAUACUGACGGUACCUAAAGAAUAAGCACCGGCUAACUACGUG